GAUGAACGCUGGCGGCGUGCCUAUACAUGCAAGUCGAGCGAACAGACGAGGAGCUUGCUCCUCUGACGUUAGCGGCGGACGGGGGAGUAACACGUGGAUAACCUACCUAUAAGACUGGGAUAACUUCGGGAAACCGGAGCUAAUACCGGAUAACAUGUUGAACCGCAUGGUUCAACAGUGAAAGACGGUCUUGCUGUCACUUAUAGAUUGAUCCGCGCCGCAUUAGCUAGUUGGUAAGGUAACGGCUUACCAAGGCAACGAUGCGUAGCCGACCUGAGAGGGUGAUCGGCCACACUGGAACUGAGACACGGUCCAGACUCCUACGGGAGGCAGCAGUAGGGAAUCUUCCGCAAUGGGCGAAAUCCUGACGGAGCAACGCCGCGUGAGCGAAGAAGGUCUUCGGAUCGUAAAACUCUGUUAUUAGGGAAGAACAAAUGUGUAAGUAACUAUGCACGUCUUGACGGUACCUAAUCAGAAAGCCACGGCUAACUACGUG
rnacentral:rRNA from 1 species